rnacentral:rRNA from 1 species
GACGAACGCUGGCGGCGUGCUUAACACAUGCAAGUCGAACGGAAAGGCCCUGCUUUUGUGGGGUGCUCGAGUGGCGAACGGGUGAGUAACACGUGAGUAACCUGCCCUUGACUUUGGGAUAACUUCAGGAAACUGGGGCUAAUACCGGAUAGCAGCUCCUGCUGCAUGGUGGGGGUUGGAAAGUUUCGGCGGUUGGGGAUGGACUCGCGGCUUAUCAGCUUGUUGGUGGGGUAGUGGCUUACCAAGGCUUUGACGGGUAGCCGGCCUGAGAGGGUGACCGGCCACAUUGGGACUGAGAUACGGCCCAGACUCCUACGGGAGGCAGCAGUGGGGAAUAUUGCACAGUGGGCGGAAGCCUGAUGCAGCAACGCCGCGUGCGGGAUGACGGCCUUCGGGUUGUAAACCGCUUUCGCCUGUGACGAAGCGUGAGUGACGGUAAUGGGUAAAGAAGCACCGGCUAACUACGUG